CGCGCCGCUUGUCGACUGAUGUACAGGUAGAGUUUUUACCUACCCAUACCAUGUCAAAUUUCUCCUGUAACAUUCUAACAUCAAUCUAUUGGACAACAAUGCAUUUUUGCAAUUCAUAUGAUAUAGAAUCUAUGACAAGUGUCAUGUUGCAGGCUUGCAACUGAGAAGUAACUUCUUUGUAUUCUGAUAAUCAGUAAGUAGCUUUCCAGAAAAACCAGAUAGCUCUGUUUGUUAACUUAGUAUCUUAAUUUCUCUUCCUUAAUUGUGUUGGUUCUAUUCAUAUCAUAUUCAUACAUCAUGAUCUCAAUGAAAUUAGUGAAGAAAUUAUUUUUAUGCUUGAUCAUGUUACUGCAUUGUGCAGGCUAUGCCAGUUGAUAUAUAGGAUAUAUACUCAUAUAGUAGACUAACGAUUUGUACAAGUCUGCAACAAAUCUCUGCAACAAAUCUGCAAACUGAAUUUUCAUGUGUUUCAACUUCAUUCUUCAUAAUGCAAUUAUGUGUUCAAUGUAAUACAAGGAUAUAUAGGGAACACUUGCGAAUAAUAGUCUGGUUGUGUCAGUAAGCUCAGUUUGUACACUUGCGUGCUCAUGGAGAACCUGCAGGUACCUUACUGGCCGCUGCUCAAGUACUGGUAGUAGUAGGACUACGUGGCCGGUCUCGAUGCCUUGUCUGAUGCUUCAUUUCUCUCUGUUGCGUGUGUUUUGAUUUUUUAAGUCAAGUGCGCACUUCACUAGCUUGAGGAUGCGAUGCCAUAACGUUUGCCUGGAUAGGAUAUAGAGGUUGGGACACACUAUCCAAUAUGAUGUUAAUCACUUUGCGGUAACUGAGAGAGACAUGCCAAAUACUGCAGCGUUUCUUUAAUUCAGACAUUUGGAUAAGGACAGCAUCACAGUAGGUUUAUUUGUAGGGUUAGUAUCUUGGAACCCUAAAAUUUUCAUUCAGACAUGCGUGUUCUUACUGAAUCCAUUACAAAAAGGAAGGCUAAUGUGCUACUGAUAUCUAGCUAGUAAAAUCAUUUUUUCCACAGCUACUAGCAGCUAAGGCUCUUGAUCGACGCCGAAGAACAGCUAACUGUUCAGAUGUUGUAAUGCUAGCUGCUGCCGGCAGAUCAAGCAAGCAAGCUACAUAUAUUUCUGUUAGACUAGAACUUGUUGUUUGCUUGACCAGAGUACCCCACAUGGCUCUGUUUGCUGCACCACCUACAUUUUGUUCACCAGAGAGUCCAAUUUAUUUUCAGAAAGUGUUGCAUUUUAAUUUGUCCACAUUUUCUAGAACUAGUAGACAAGCUCAUUGCUUCUUUUGCUUAUUUCUUUGCAAUUUUGACAAUGUUUCAUGCUCAAAUUUGUAAUUUUGUGCUGCAGGUUAGAGGGUGCAAACAUGUGAAGAUCUUCAAGGUUAUGCAUCUAUGUUGUUCGUGUGUUAUCUCUGGUAGUGCUUAAAUUAUGGCAUUGGCCAACUUUCUGCUGGUAACGCGAUCCACUUUCUGACAAGAUUUGAAAAGAGAAACUUUUACCUUAUGAUGAAACCAGUGUUUAACAUGUAGGAGUAGGCUAUUUACCACCAUUUAUCGCACAGAUUUGUUGCACUUGUAUGCCACCCUUUCACCCUCUUGUAUACGUGGUUAACUUUAGCUGACGCUAUGGGAUGCUAGAUGGCAUUUAUCAUGUCCUUUUGAUGGACCUCGUUUUCCCAUUCCAUUUCACGCUCGAAACUACUCCCUCCAGUAGUCCAGUUGCAUUAUUUACUAUUUAGUUGUCAUUUUGGACAAGCAAAUUGACUUUCAAUUAGUUCUGGCUUGCUGUCAGAUACAUCAAGUUCUCCUAACAGCAGAAAGUGAUUUUGUUGUGCAGGCAUCCAAAUUAGCCAACCUGGGUAUUCAGAAAGGUCGAACCUUUGAUGAUGACUAGCACAGUAUCAGCUUCAACAGCUCUCAUUGUAUAAUUCUUGCAAAUUGCAGCUCUGAACUUUCAGCCAUGUCAAAGGAUGGUCUUCCGUGGACUGUGAAUUAUCAGACUUGAACUUGUGCAAAUAUUUAUCUUUGUUGAAGGGAUGACAUCCAAAUGUCAGUCGCGUCAAUAGGAGGUGCUGAGUAAGGCCACAUAUUCCCCAUCGAGCACCAGAAAACGAGCAGAACAGAAAAAUGUCGAGGGGCGGUGCGGUAGACUAGUAGUUGAGUGGAAUAAUCUGAUCCAUGCUUGUAUGUUUGUUCUUAAACACUGCGCCUGACCAGUUAUCUUGUAUGGUGAG
rnacentral:lncRNA from 1 species